rnacentral:lncRNA from 1 species
UUGUGGUGGGCGAUGAGAAAAUGAUGAUGUUGGUUCAUUCUGGCGAGGACUCCAGUAAUUCAGUGGAGUUUACACAACUCACCUACUGCAGUAUCGAAAUAGAUGUCUUUUCACAGGAAAUUUGUGUGUAUGUGUGCAAGCCCUCAGGCUCAUACGCUUGCAGACUUGCUUAAAACAGGUCUUUUGUUUUUAUGUUAAAUGUCCUGGAAAAGGGAACAGGAAUUAGACAUGUACAAAAAAAAAAAGAGAGAACAAAUAAAUCUUUCUCUCUUUCAGGGAGUCCCCUUCCUCGGCCAAUGGUGCAGAAGCGAUGGUUUGUGGCAGUGAGAUUCAUGCUGACUCACACUUGUCUACCAGCACCAGAUGUGCAUGAUGCUUGCUGUUUCCCUUCUCUGUUUUUCUGUAAGUCCUGCAAAUGCAAAAAAUCCCAACCAUCAUUCCUUGAGACAUACAGAGAAGAAUGAAAACGCUGCUUCAGUUUUAAGCUUCAAGGUUUGUGCUGUUUGUGCAUUCUGUUUGUGUAAUUCUUCAAAACUUGUCAAUAACGGUUUUAACUGUUCAUUUACGCUGUAUGAGUGUUUCAAAUUCAUACUAAUAUUUCAAAUGGUUGCUUUGGGUGAAAAUUCCUUUUGUUGCAUGUCACUCUCGGUAAGCCUGAAAUUACAUUGUAUGUUCUAUUAUGUUGUUACCUGAAUAGAGUCGUUAGAACAGCGAGUUUUGUUGGCUUUUUAGUGUUUCUGUGUAUCCGAGUGUGUGCAUGUUGUUGCAGCGUUCACUAAAUUGAGUGUGUGUGGGGCAGACCACUCUCAAGAAGGUGAGGUCAUCGGCCAAGGCUAUACACGCCCGAUCCUCUUGUCUCAAAAUCCACACCUGUUUCUGACUGCCUUUGCAAAUUAUUACAGGAUCAAAGAAGAAUUAGUUGAAGCUCUCCUGUAUCUGUCAAAGACUUCUAACUUUGGGAUCAUGACUCAAGAAAAUGCCCAGAUUUAUCUCUGUGGUUUUUAUUUUCAGAGGUUACGUAUCGCUGUAACCUGGAGACCAGUAGAGUCAUGAAGAAUUAGAUUAUUAAUACAUCCGCUUGCACUUUAUAGCAGCUGCCAAAACAACAGGAAAGGACAUGGCCUCACGUUUUCAAUUGAUGAGCUGAUUAUAUUAAUAUCUCGACCUUUAAACCUCUGUGUCAAUCAAGCUCUGAAGUUUUUUUGAGAAGCUGGCCCUGUAUAAAUCUUAAUAUCUUUUUAUAAUCACACUCCAUUCUGUGAUUAAAAACCCUGGAGACCUUGAAGUAUGAAUCAUGCUGAGCGUGUGUGUUGUGGGGAGGUGGGUUGAGAGGAUGUUGAAUUAUGUCAUCCAUUCCUUUUCCAAUGACAUAAUGAAUUGUGCGUGUUAGAAAGUGAAUGGAUUAAUAGUAGUUUGCUAGUAUAGUCAGCACCCAGGAAUGCACUGUAAAGGAUUUCAAUUUAGCUUUCGUACUAAAAUAGCAUCAGGAUCAAUGACCACAUCAGCAUCAACAACAACAUUUACAUGCACAUCAUUUUUUUAAUGAAUACUUUUAUUCAGCAAAUUAAAUUGAUCAAAAUUAACAGUAAAGACUGACAAUGUUUCAAAACAUUCUUAACGUAAAUUAUUCUUUCUAUCCAUCAAAAAAAAUGGAUCAUGAUUUCUGCAGCACAACAGUUUUCAACUGAUAAAAAUAAAUGUUUGUUGAGCACUAAAUCAGCUUAUCAGAAUGAUUUCUGAAGGACCAUGUAACACUGAAGUAUAUAUACUGUCUAAAACUUGGUAUUACAAGCACUUCCUGUGUCUGUUUGCCUCUUUAAGAAGAAUCACUUUAUGUAUCCCCCAAUUGUAAUUCGUUUUGGAUAAAAGCAUCUGCAAAAUGACUAAAUGUGAAUACAGUGUACAUUCUAGUGAAGCCUUUAAAAAAGUCUAUUGGAAUAUUGCUCUAUAUACUCAGAACCAUUCAAAUACUAAGCCAUGACAUGUUCACUCUUUGCAUGCUCUUCAGGAAAUAAUAAGGAUGCUAACCAUUAAUUCUCAUUUAUUUACUUAACACAGAAGAAUGCAAUGAAAUACAAUCACAACAUGGUUGGUAAUUAACAGGGGUUUGGGGGGGGUUAAUGAUUCAGUUGAAUGUAUGAUUCAAAGACUCAUUUAGCUUAUUAGGACAGUGACUUGCACCCCACCCACCCCAUCAUUUAAUUUCAUUUCCCAACAUUUUAUAUUUAAAACUCAUAGUAUUAUUUAUACAGUUGUAAUGCAGUGUAAAUGCAUUUAUGUAACUUCUGAGUUGCAUUAAACAGUGUAAAUAUCUUAAGUACCAAGUCAAAUGCAGCUUCAGCAGUGCAAAGAUCAUUGGAAUGGUAACAGACCUGUAGUUUAUUAUUUUUGUUGAAUUGAUUUAUUGAAUGUAUGAAUUUGAAAUAAAAAAAUGAACAUUAAAGAUAGAAAAUGUGUAAAGUAAAAAAAAAAUAGUUACCU